rnacentral:tRNA from 1 species
GACCUCGUAGCUCAGUUGGUAGAGCAUUGGACUAGCAAACCAAAGGUCACGGGUUCGAUUCCCACCGCGGUCA